CCUACGGGUGGCAGCAGUGGGGAAUAUUGCGCAAUGGGCGAAAGCCUGACGCAGCGACGCCGCGUGAGGGAUGAAGGUCUUCGGAUCGUAAACCUCUGUCAGCAGGGAAGAACGGUCACUGUGCUAAUCAGCAGUGAAUUGACGGUACCUGCAAAGGAAGCACCGGCGAAAUCCGUGCCAGCAGCCGCGGUAAUACGGAGGGUGCGAGCGUUAAACGGGAUGACUGGGCGUAAAGCGCGCGUAGGCGGUAUGACAAGUCAAGGGUGCACUCCCGGCGCUCCACGUGGGAACUGCCAUUGAAACUGGUAAACUGGAGUGUGUGAGAGGAUAGUGGAAUUCCAGGUGUAGGAGUGAAAUCCGUAGAUAUCUGGAGGAACAUCAGUGGCGAAGGCGAAUAUCUGGCACAUAACUGACGCUGAGGAGCGAAAGCGUGGGUAGCAAACAGGAUUAGAUACCCUAGUAGUC
rnacentral:rRNA from 1 species